CCUCCCGGCCUCUGCCUGUCCCGGGGGGGAGGCCGGAUCCUGGGCUGUGUCCCGGCGCCCUGUGCUCCGGAGCCUGCGCUGUUGGAUUCGCGCUCCCGGGCCGCGCAACCCCCUCCGCGGAGCUGCCGCCCGAGCC
rnacentral:pre_miRNA from 1 species